UAGAGAGGGUCUGAGUGGGGGAGGGAACCUAGCUGUUAUUGGUAGAGAGGUUCUGAGUGGGGGAGGGAACCUAGCUGUUAUUGGUAGAGAGGGUCUGAGUGGGGGAGGGAACCUAGCUGUUAUUGGUAGAGAGGUUCUGAGUGGGGGAGGGAACCUAGCUGUUAUUGGUAGAGGGGGUCUGAGUGGGGGAGGGAACCUUGCUGUUAUUGGUAGAGAGGGUCUGAGUGGGGGAGGGAACCUAGCUGUUAUUGGUAGAGAGGGUCUGAGUGGGGGAGGGAACCUAGCUGUUAUUGGUAGAGAGGGUCUGAGUGGGGGAGGGAACCUAGCUGUUAUUGGUAGAGAGGGUCUGAGUGGGGAGGGAACCUAGCUGUUAUUGGUAGAGAGGUUCUGAGUGGGGGAGGGAACCUAGCUGUUAUUGGUAGAGAGGGUCUGAGUGGGGGAGGGAACCUAGCUGUUAUUGGUAGAGAGGGUCUGAGUGGGGGAGGGAACCUAGCUGUUAUUGGUAGAGAGGUUCUGAGUGGGGGAGGGAACCUAGCUGUUAUUGGUAGAGAGGGUCUGAGUGGGGGAGGGAACCUAGCUGUUAUUGGUAGAGAGGGUCUGAGUGGGGGAGGGAAACUAGCUGUUAUUGGUAGAGAGGUUCUGAGUGGGGGAGGGAACCUAGCUGUUAUUGGUAGAGAGGUUCUGAGUGGGGGAGGGAACCUAGCUGUUAUUGGUAGAGAGGGUCUGAGUGGGGGAGGGAACCUAGCUGUUAUUGGUAGAGAGGGUCUGAGUGGGGGAGGGAAACUAGCUGUUAUUGGUAGAGAGGGUCGAGUGGGGGAGGGAACCUAGCUGUUAUUGGUAGAGAGGGUCUGAGUGGGGAGGGGAACAUUGAAAACUAUUGGCAGAGAGGUUUGGAACUCCCAUUUCGGUCUAUUAACUAAAUUACAAGGCUAAACCUCCAUCAAAACAAAAACAGGCUGAUAUUUCAGGUGUUCUUUUCAAUCAGCUCUUACACUAAAAGGGCAUUAUCAGUAUUGUCACAAUAUUAAUCAAACCUCAGUGUGGAAAUAUAUACAAAACAAAGGAAAAUCUAGUUUUUGACUGCACUGGGCCUUUAAAAAGUAAUUCAUAUACAGUUCAGAGCUACAGAGUACUAUACAGUUCAGAGCUACAGAGUACUAUACAGUUCAGUACUACAGAGUACUAUACAGUUCAGUACUACAGAGUACUAUACAGUUCAGAUCAGUACUACAGAGUACUAUAUAGUUCAGAGCUACAGAGUACUAUACAGAUCAGUACUACAGAGUACUAUACAGUUGAGAGUACAAAUUAUGUACUACGGAUUAAGAGCCCUCUUCAAUCUGGAAAGCUGAAGAGAUUCCGCGGUAGUCUCCCGGUUGAGUCUACGACAUCUGCAGCGUUUACCGGGAGUGAAGUCUCCCGGUUUCAGCCUACGACAUCUGCAGCGUUUACCGGGAGUGAAGUCUCCCGGUUUCAGCCUACGACAUCUGCAGCGUUUACCGGGAGUGAAGUCUCCCGGUUUCAGCCUACUACAUGUGCAGCGUUUACCGGGAGUGAAGUCUUCCGGUUUCAGCCUACUACAUCUGCAGCGUUUAACAGCAGUGAAGUCUCCCGGUUUCAGCCUACUACAUGUGCAGCGUUUACCGGGAGUGAAGUCUCCCGGUUUCAGCCUACUACAUGUGCAGCGUUUAACAGCAGUGAAGUCUCCCGGUUUCAGCCUACUACAUGUGCAGCGUUUACCGGGAGUGAAGUCUUCCGGUAAAGCGGGAUCGUUGUGUUUAUAUUUCAAUCCCGCUGCAAAGCUGGACUUCGACGAUGCUGAUUGAAUAGAGCCUUUAAUAAGAAGGUAUUUGACCAGUUCUCUAACAGAAAGAGACAGGCAGUGAAUGGGAACAUGAUGGUUAUUAAAAUACUUAAGACUGUGGACAAGCGUUUUGAAUGAACCCGAGGAUGAGACGUUAUUGAAGUCGUAUAACACCUUGACAUAAAAGUCAGGAAAUAACAGUGGCACGCUAGCUACAGGUAACUGCCAAAACAAAGGAAAAACACAUGAGGAAAUGAGGGAUACAAAAAUAUAUUGAAAGCAGAUGCUUCAACACAGGUGUUGUAACCCAAAAUUAAUUAAGCAAUUAACAUCCCAUCAUGCUUAGGGUCAAGCAAAAAAAAAAAAAUAAUGCUGAGCAGGACAUUAUUUUGGUUACCACGACAACCCCCCCCCCCCCAUCCCCAUCCCCAUCCACAGGGCUUGAGAGGUCACCGAAUGGUUUAGUGAGCAUUUUACAAAAAAAACGAUAAAACCCAAAGACCACGACCAUCUCAGGUCACCAGAUCUCAACCCAAAUUGAACACUUACGGGAGAGUCUGGAGCGGUGCCUGAGAAAACGUUUUUCCCGCCGCCACCAUCAUCAUCAUCAUCAUCAUCAUCAUCAAAACACCAAAAUAAUGGAAUUUCUCGUGGAAGAAGAAUGGUGUCUCAUCCCUCCAAUAGAGUUCAAGACACUUGUAGAAUCUACCCUCGAGGUGCAUUGAAGCUGUUCUGGGUCGUGGUGACCCUAUUAACACCCAAUGUUAGUGUUUCCUUUUACUUUGGCAGUUACCUGGAUCUUCAGCUAGUAAAAUAUAUACUGUCGAACGCUAUAUAUAUGGGGGACGGAUGACAAUCAACCAAACUGAAGCUACGGGGGGGGAGGGGUCUGAAGAAAACAUUUAUCCAACCUAAUGAGUCUUCUGAUGGACCACAUGGGGGGGGGGGGGGAAUCAUAGUAGCCUUGUUCCGGUGGCCGUAAUCAUAAAACAGUAGGAGUGCUGAUCUAGGAAUCAGGGUCCCUCUUGUCCAUGUAGUCAAUGGGGUGGCAGGUAGCCUAGUGGUUAGAGCGUUGGGCCAGUAACCGAAAGGUUUCUGGAUCGAAUCCCCGAGCUGACGAGGUAAAAAAGAAAAUAAAAAUCUGUGGUUCUGCCCCCUGAACAAGGCAGUUAACCCACUGUUCCUCGGUAGGCCGUCGUUGUAAAUAACAAUUUGUUCUUAACCGACUUGCCUGGUAAAUUUUUUUUUUAAAUCCCCUAUGAUUCUUAAAGGCAAAACUGAUCCCCGAUCAGCACUUCUACUCUGUAAUGCAUUCUGUGCCGUCUUGCCAACUCCUACAGUCAUUGUCACGCCAGCACAAACAGAUAGAGCCCGAGUGCCAGUCUGUUUGUGACAACUUUUUGCCACGCAAGUUGGCAAAACAGCACAAACAGAACGAUAACAGUUAUUCUCUCCUCUCUACCACUGAGAGGAACACAAAGCCAAAACAAAAUUCACUCAGUAAAUUAAUUGUACAAAUAUAAAAUACAAUAUUAUCAUCAUCAACAACAACAAAAGUUAAAUCCAGGUAGACUAAUUAUUCCGAAGUCCUCCAGUCUGUUCCUGAUACACCUCGAUGACGUCCUCGUCUUCCAUCCCCAGCU
rnacentral:lncRNA from 1 species